rnacentral:rRNA from 1 species
UACAUGGGGUGCAAACGUUGCUCGGAAUUAUUGGGCGUAAAGCGCACGUAGGCGGUUCGUUAAGUCGGAUGUGAAAGCCCUCGGCUCAACUGAGGAAGUGCACCCGAAACUGGCGAGCUUGAGUACGGAAAGAGGAGUCGCGGAAUUCCCGGUGUAGAGGUGAAAUUCGUAGAUAGUCGGGAGGAACACCGGUGGCGAAGGCGGCGAUCUGGGUCGAUACUGACGCGUGAGGUGGCGAAAGCGUGGGGAGCAACAGG